rnacentral:rRNA from 1 species
AUUUUAUAUAAAUAUAUUAUAAUUAUUUAUAUAUUGUUAAAUAAAAGUAAUUAUAUUGUUUUAGUAUUUUUUUGAAUAAAUAUUUAUGAUUUAACUGUAAAGGUUAAUAAAAGAUUUUAAAAAGUAAAAUAAUAACUUGUACCUUUUGUAUCAGGGUUGAUUAAUUAUAUUUAAAUAUUUAUUUUUCCCGAAUUAUAGUGAUUUAAAAUUAUUUGUUAGUUAUUGUAAUAAAAAUAUUGAUAAAAUAAUUUUAGUGAUGAAACUUUUUCGAACUAUAAUAUUUCUGGUUUCUUAAGAAAUAAAUUUAAUUUAGUAUAAAUAUCUAAAUUUAUAUUUUAAUAUAAAAUUUUAUAUUUAUAUAAUUAUAUUAAGGAUAAGCUAAAUAUAAUUUCUAUAAUAUUUAAAAAUCAAAUUAAUUAAAUAGGCUUAUAAUCAGCUUUUUUAAAAGUGAGUUAAAUUUUAUUUUUAUAUUAAAUAUAUUUAAUAUAUUUUAGUUAUAUAUUAAGGAAAUUGAAUUAACUAAAUAAUUUUUAUUAAAAUGAUUAAAUUAGUAAAUUAAAAUAAAUUAUGUUUAAGAACUAGGCAAAAUAUAAUUUUCACCUGUUUAACAAAAACAUGUCCUUUAGCAAAUAUUAAAGGUCUAUUCUGCCCAAUGAUUUUUAAAUGGCCGCGGUAACUUGACCGUGCAAAGGUAGCAUAAUAAUUAGUCUUUUAAUUGAAGGCUUGUAUGAAUGAGUGGAUGAGAGAUUUUCUUUUUUAAUUAAAAUAAAUUGAAUUUAAAAUUUAAGUAAAAAAUCUUAAAUAAAUAAGUGGGACGAGAAGACCCUAUAGAGUUUAAAAUAAAUUUAACUUUUAAAAUAUUUAGAAUUUAUAGUUGAAAAGUUAAAUUUAUUUUUUGUUGGGGUGACAUUUUAAUAAAUUAAACUUAAAAUAAAUUUUUCAUAAAUUAAUGUUUUAUUGAUCCAAUUUUAUUGAUUAUAAGAAUAAAUUACCUUAGGGAUAACAGCGUAAUUAAUUUGAAGAGUUCAUAUCGAUAAAUUAGAUUGCGACCUCGAUGUUGGAUUAAGAAAAGAAUUUGAAGCAAAAUUUAAAUAUUCUAGGUCUGUUCGACCUUUAAUUUCUUACAUGAUCUGAGUUCAAAUCGGCGUAAGCCAGGUUGGUUUCUAUCUACUAAAAUAUUUUUAGUAUUAGUACGAAAGGACCAUACUAAAUAAUUUUAUUAU